CAAAGACUUAAUAUAGUCCUGCCAAUCUUGAAAUUUUCAAAGUGCCUUAAAAAACCAUAACAGAUGGGCAAAGAAGACACUUGAGAAUUUUUAAAUGCUGGGCAGUUUGGCUUGGAAACUAUUGCUGAUGUGUGCUGUGUUAGCCUAAAGAACCGGAGAAAUAAAAAAAGGUCUGUGCAAACAUAAA